GCGGACGGGUGAGUAACGCGUGAGAAUCUCCCUUCAGGAUGGGGACAACCGUUGGAAACGACGGCUAAUCCCCAAUGUGCCGAAAGGUGAAAGGGUUUCCGCCUGAAGAAGAGCUCGCGUCCGAUUAGUUAGUUGGUGAGGUAAGAGCUCACCAAGGCAGCGAUCGGUAGCUGGUCUGAGAGGAUGAGCAGCCACACUGGGACUGAGACACGGCCCAGACUCCUACGGGAGGCAGCAGUGGGGAAUUUUCCGCAAUGGGCGAAAGCCUGACGGAGCAACGCCGCGUGUGGGAAGAAGGCUCUUGGGCUGUCAACCACUUUUCUCAGGGAAGAAGAUCUGACGGUACCUGAGGAAUCAGCCUCGGCUAACUCCGUGCCAGCAGCCGCGGUAAUACGGAGGAGGCAAGCGUUAUCCGGAAUUAUUGGGCGUAAAGCGUCCGCAGGGGGCGCAUCAAGUCUGCUGUUAAAGGCUGGAGCUUAACUCCGGUAGAGCAGUGGAAAC
rnacentral:rRNA from 1 species